GAUGAACGCUGGCGGCGUGCCUAAUACAUGCAAGUCGAGCGAACAGACGAGGAGCUUGCUCCUCUGACGUUAGCGGCGGACGGGUGAGUAACACGUGGAUAACCUACCUAUAAGACUGGGAUAACUUCGGGAAACCGGAGCUAAUACCGGAUAAUAUAUUGAACCGCAUGGUUCAAUAGUGAAAGACGGUUUUGCUGUCACUUAUAGAUGGAUCCGCGCCGCAUUAGCUAGUUGGUAAGGUAACGGCUUACCAAGGCAACGAUGCGUAGCCGACCUGAGAGGGUGAUCAGCCACACUGGAACUGAGAAACGGUCCAGACUCCUACGGGAGGCAGCAGUAGGGAAUCUUCCUCAAUGGGCGAAAGCCUGACGGAGCAACGCCGCGUGAGUGUAGCAGGUCUUCGGAUCGUAAAACUCUGUUAUUUGGGAGAAACACAUGUGUAAGUAACUAUGCACGUCUUGACGGUACCUAAUCAGAAAGCCACGGCUAACUACGUG
rnacentral:rRNA from 1 species